AAGUAUAUGAGCCAUUCCAAUGUUUAUUUUUUAUUUUUAUUUUUUUUUUUUUGUUGUCGUAAAAUACAAUAAAUAUUAAUCACUGUAACAUGGGUCAAACGAAUGGAAAAAACCGCCUGAUUAUUCAUGGAACAAAUGAAUGGUUAAUAGAUAAAAAAAAAGAUAUAUCUUUGUUAAACAUAAAAUCUGAUAAACGCAUUAAAAAUGUAUAUAAUGGUCCAAACAAUAUAAUAGUUAUAUAUGAAAAUGAUGAUUUUGAAAUAGCCGGGUUAAAUGCUCAUGGUGAAUUGGGUUUAGGUGAUAAAAUAAGUAGAAAUAAAUUAACGAUAAAUUCUAUACUUUCUAAACAAAAAGUUUUAAAAAUUGCAUGUGGAAAUAAACAUAUAAUCGUUUUAAUGUUAAAUAAUAAUAUAUUUGGUUGGGGUGAUAAUACAAAUGGUCAGUUAGGUAUAGGAUAUAGUACUAAAGAAAUAUUAUCUCCUUUACUUAUUUAUUUUAAUGAUAAGGUUGUUGAUAUUGCAUGUGGUUAUGACCAUUCUUUAUUUUUAACAGAGUGUGAAUAUAAAAAUGAGGGGAUUAGUGACAGUAGUGGAGGGAGUAGUGGAAGUAGUAUUGACAGUAGUAACGAUAGUAGUAAUGACAGUAGUAAUGACAGUAGUAAUGACAGUAAUAGGGAUGACUCAAAGGAUGUUAUAAAAGAACAUAAAAUAAACACCUCGGUUGUAAAGGGGACUACAAAAAAAAACUACUUAAACACAGUUGACAUAAAUGUAAAUGAUGGGAUGAAUAAGAAACAAAAAGAAGAAUUAAAAAGCAGUUAUAUUGACAGUGGUAAUGAAAAACUGGCUGGUAGUGUAAAGAGAAACAGAACUGUUGAUGUCGUAAAGAAAAAAAAAAACGAAUGAAUGUGAUAAUAAGAAAAAAAAGCUUUAUUACAAUAUUUAUGCUUGUGGUUCAGGUUCAGGUGGUAAACUUGGAUUUAAAAAUGAAGAAAAUGUUUACUUUCCUAAAAAAGUUGUCAUUAAAAAAAAACGUCAAAAAAAAAAAAAAAAUAUUAAAUAUAGAUAGUAUAUAUUCUAGUUACAACUACAAUGGUUUAUUAACAAGUGAUGGUGUGUUGUAUACUUGGGGAUAUAAUAAAAAUAAAGAAUUAAGUCA
rnacentral:lncRNA from 1 species